rnacentral:lncRNA from 1 species
UCCUGCUUCCUCCUACACCUCACUACCCACCAGCCACCCACUCCUACAUCGAGUGGGCAAAAUACUGGCUGCCGCUCCCCUGUGGCCUGUAACGACCUAGUCUCUGACCCAGAGGUUGUCUGUCAGCCACAGACGAACAGCAAUGACUGAGGCAGCGGCCCUGGUACUCCCACGGGCUGAAUCAGGCUUGAUUUGUUAAGAAUGUGGGGCAAAUGCACGCAGGGAGCUGGAGAAAUCGCUGAUAAUUCAUUGCGUGAGUAACCCCCAUAUUUCUAAGAAAGUGAAAGAAUGAGGUGGGAGAAUAUAAAACACAACAAUUAAAUUUUCCGAUGGUGGUAAUAUCGUUUGUUUAGAAAAAUGCUCUUUAAUUUCAAUAACAAAAACAUCCAUUUGAAUACAUUUUCCAAGUGGUCAGAUUUUCUUGUCAGACUGAACCCUAUUUUUAAAUAUCUGCUUUCAACUGUCACCAAAAUAAGAAAAGCAAACCCCCUCUUUGUUGUUAAUGGCAUGCACAUCUGGCUAUGAAAGGCUGUUCUCCAAAACUCUGCUUCCUCAACCACCUUCAACUCAGAGGUCUGAUCCCCACCACAGAAGCAGCUGAGGACAGGAACAGGGGAUCUGAAAACAGUCACCAUCCAUCUUGGGAGCUCUGAGCCACCAGCGUCCAGCUAGCCCACCGUGACUUGUUCCCUCCUUCAACCCUUAGCAAACCCCCUCUGGAGACCUACCAACCCCUGUGCACCAGGCAUGAAGAGAAAUGAUGACCGGAUCGCUGGCCACAAGGAGCUCCCGGUCUACGGGGAGAAACACACGGUCCUCACCCGUCACAGGAGAGAAACCCCCUUCUGAUCUGGGGUCCGCUGCUCUGGUGUCCUGUGAUCUCCAGGGUCUGAAGAUACCCUACUCUAACACCGUCUGCCUCUCCUGGGGAGCUUAGUGAGUACAGACCUGCCCCUUCUCUCUUCCAGGUCUGGGCCAUUCCAGAAAUGCUUCUGACACAAGGGGGCUUGGGGCCUCUACGGGAGUUUAUGUACCUGAAUGUGUGCAAGUAUGUGCACAUGACGUGUCUGUUAAUGGGGAGCAUUGCAAUGGCAGCUGAGUGCUCGGUGCUCAUGGAAAAGCCUGGUCAGAAGUA